ACACGCUGGCGGCGUGCCUAAUACAUGCAAGUCGAGCGGAUCUGAGGGAGCUUGCUCCCAAAGAUUAGCGGCGGACGGGUGAGUAACACGUGGGCAACCUGCCUAUGAGACUGGGAUAACUUCGAGAAACCGGAGCUAAUACCGGAUAAUGCUUUUGGACACAUGUCUGGAAGCUGAAAGAUGGCUUCUCGCUAUCACUUAUAGAUGGGCCCGCGGCGCAUUAGCUAGUUGGUGAGGUAACGGCUCACCAAGGCAACGAUGCGUAGCCGACCUGAGAGGGUGAUCGGCCACACUGGGACUGAGACACGGCCCAGACUCCUACGGGAGGCAGCAGUAGGGAAUCUUCCGCAAUGGACGAAAGUCUGACGGAGCAACGCCGCGUGAGUGAUGAAGGUUUUCGGAUCGUAAAACUCUGUUGUUAGGGAAGAACAAGUACCGGAGUAACUGCCGGUACCUUGACGGUACCUAACCAGAAAGCCACGGCUAACUACGUG
rnacentral:rRNA from 1 species